UAGGGAAUCUUCGGCAAUGGACGGAAGUCUGACCGAGCAACGCCGCGUGAGUGAAGAAGGGUUUCGGAACCUGAAACUCUGUGUUGUAAGAGAAGAACGAGUGUGAGAGUGGAAAGUUCACACUGUGACGGUAUCUUACCAGAAAGGGACGGCUAACUACGUGCCAGCAGCCGCGGUAAUACGUAGGUCCCGAGCGUUGUCCGGAUUUAUUGUUGGGCGUAAAGCGAGCGCAGGCGGUUAGAUAAGUCUGAAGUUAAAGGCUGUGGCUUAACCAUAGUACGCUUUGGAAACUGUUUAACUUGAGUGCAAGAGGGGAGAGUGGAAUUCCAUGUGUAGCGGUGAAAUGCGUAGAUAUAUGGAGGAACACCGGUGGCGAAAGCGGCUCUCUGGCUUGUAACUGACGGNNNGACGCUGAGGCUCGAAAGCGUGGGGAGCAAACAGGAUUAGAUACCCUGGUAGUCCACGCCGUAAACGAUGAGUGCUAGGUGUUAGGUCCUUUCCGGGACUUAGUGCCGCAGCUAACGCAUUAAGCACUCCGCCUGGGGAGNNNNCNCCCCCGGNUG
rnacentral:rRNA from 1 species